rnacentral:rRNA from 3 species
CGACCCCAGUCAGGCGGGACUACCCGCUGAGUUUAA